UACGAAGGGGGCUAGCGUUGCUCGGAAUCACUGGGCGUAAAGCGCACGUAGGCGGGUUGUUAAGUCAGGGGUGAAAUCCUGGAGCUCAACUCCAGAACUGCCUUUGAUACUGGCAAUCUUUGAGUUCGGGAGAGGUGAGUGGAACUGCGAGUGUAGAGGUGAAAUUCGUAGAUAUUCGCAAGAACACCAGUGGCGAAGGCGGCUCACUGGCCCGAUACUGACGCUGAGGUGCGAAAGCGUGGGGAGCAAACAGG
rnacentral:rRNA from 1 species